ensembl:lncRNA
CAGAUGUGUACGAACUGGGAGAACUCACUGAGAGCAGGCUUGUGGAGAAGGACUUGGUGAUUCUGGUUAAUGAAAAGCUUGAUGUGAGCCAGCAGUGACUGCUUACAGCCCAGAAGGUCAACAGUAUCUAGGGCUGCAUGGAAAGAAGGGUGGUUAGUAGGGCAAGAGAGGUGAUUGUCCCUCUCUGCUCUGCCCUAGUGAGGCCUCCAUGCCUGGAGCCCCCAGUGCAAGAAGGAUGUAGAGCAGUUGGAGUGGGUCCAGAGGAGGGCCACAAAGAUGACCAGAGGGCUGGAGCAGCUUUCCUGUGAAGAAAAGCUGAGGCACCUGGGCUUGUUCAGCAUGGAGAAGGCUUGAGGGAGACCUCACAGAUCUUUCUAAUCUGUGAACAUCCGGAGUAUGAACAGUACCCUAUAAGAGAUUCAGAUGAACUGGAUACCACCACUGCUCCUCUUAGCUGCUGUUAAUGGAAAUUAUUUCCAACAGAAAAUACCUGAAACAAAUUGCCACAACAAUUGGAGGUUCUGGCUGUGCUCUUAUUGUCCUGGGUGAUAACUGUCACCCUGACCUUGACAGAUCAUUGAAGAAAGGAAAAGUUUUUAUGAGCGCAUGGGAAGCUUCAUAGAGCACAUGCAAGAAAAGAAAUUCUUUGUGAAAACCUGACCACAUUCAGUACACCGUGGUCACAAAGGCCAAAAUGCCGGUGGGCUGAACAGCCUACUUCAGGAAGAGAGUGGCUGGAUGGCAGUGAUAGUACACUUUGACUGGAGAUUUCCUGACUAACACUGACCUAGACAUGACUGGAUGUCCUGCAAAGUGAUGAAUGAUUACUUAAGAUAAGUAAACCUUGUGAUGACUUCCUUCUGCCUUGGGCACCAAAGUCUUGAUGGGUUGCACAGGAAAAAUGCCUUGCCUCAGAGAGAAUCAUCUAAGUAAGGAUCUAAGAUUAGUGAAGAAUGAAGUCCACAUAGGAGAGAAGCACUGCUGCCAGGUCAACAUCCUCUUUCUGGGACUGAAGCAGAAGCUUGCACAAGAAAGCACUUACAUCCGUUCACAUGAUGAGCAGGAUGUUUGUUCUGGAGGAUUCAGAUCUCUGGAACCCAUAUCCUGAGGAAACCUGGAUCAAGAACAAGCUACAGCUUUCUUGCAGCUGUGGUGGUGUCUUUUUAUGUGAUACCACUAGAAGUGUUGUAUUUUCUAUGGCCUUUGAGGCUUCACUCUACUACUUCUGGACUUCUCCAAGAGUACUUUCUACCCAGCUUUUCCUUCUUAAAUCUAGGAGGAGUUUUAGUGGCUUAUUCCAAAUUUACAUACGUAUGAUUCUAAAUAUAACACUUGGACAAUAGAAUACCUGGCCUGGAGAUAUGGAUACUCCUUCAACGUGGUGUGUUCCUGAAUCUGACACUACUCUAAAGCUGUAGUGGAAGUACAGUAUUUAAAUUCUCUUCAACUCUGUACUUUAGCCAUCCAUUGAGUGCCACAGUCUAGAUUAGAAGAGUAUAUGCAGGGCAUUAGCUGCAAAAGAAACCAUUGUAAUAUCAGUGUGCUGCUGGACUGGAAAGGUUGAGAUGGUUAGUAAAGCAAGUUGCACUAAAAAGGCCAUUGAUCAUAUUUAGCAGCUGUUUUAGAAAUAGCAAGCUAGUAUCUUGUGCCCAGAAUUGCAAAAUAUCUGCAUCAUCUGGUUUUUCUUUUUUUUCUUCUUUUUCUUUUUUUUCUACAAAGAAUCCCAUUAAAGUUACUGAGGAUUUGCACUUUUAAGGAAAUCAUUUAAUAGAGGGUGGUAUAUCUAAAAGCUGUAUCUAAGGAAAGUCCUGACGUUCUUUAAGUCAUCAGGCCAUCAAAAAGCAAAUGAUAUCCACACUAUUUGUUUGGGGACAGCGCCAUAGAAACAGUUUGGUUUUUCCUCCCUCUCUUCCAUCUCUCUAUAGUCAUCAUCUACAACUCUUUCCUUCCAUUCCCCAUCAACGAGCUUUUUCUGUGCACUCUCCUAACGAAUUUUGGAUAACCUUAGAAGGUGAACCUUACUCUGCUGCAAGUUUGGUCUGCUCAUACUGCCAGCUUUCUGCCACCACUGCUUAAUCAUGCAACUUCCUCCUCUGCAACUUGUCUGUCCUGUUCAUCCAAAUCUUUUCACUCAGAGCAGCAAUAGUGUUCUGAUUAACUGGUGUGCUGGCAGAGAUUACUAAAGGUAUCUGUCUGGAUGCUGCUGUGAUAUGGACACGACUCUAAUAUCUUUAAUUUUGGUACACUGCUUUGUUGUUCGCUUGUUUGUUUAAAAUGCUCUUCUGUUAUAUUUGCGGUGAUGAAAAAUAAACUAACUGGCAUCCAGCUCUGAAACUGUGGUGUUGGUGGGGGAGGGCUGCCCACUUGAAAACAAGCAAGAAGUCUUACAAAUAUUUGGACUAAUUAAUUCACCAGCUUUUCUUUACAGAACUCUUUUGUGAUAAUAAAGCCAUUCACUGACCAAGAGAGUACAUUGUCCAUUUGGUUACUGUUUUGUAUCUCAUGUCAAACAAAAGCCACUGCCUCCUACAACAGUAACAGCCGAGUAUUUUCACUACUUAAGCAGUUUCCUCUUCUAGCUGCUGGAUCGUCAAAAAUUCUAAUCAACUCUGAUCUAACACAAAGUACUACAUGGCAUUCAUCAUCUGUUUUAGCCUUUAAUGCACCAUGCAGGUUUUAAUCAAAGGCAUGCAGCCAUUAGCAAAAAAGAAAGACAAGAAUUAUGACAGUGUCCUAAACAGACCUCUUAAGCUGACAUCACAGGCAGCAGAUAAAUUCAUCUCCCCUUGUUGAAUACAAAAACAGGCAAAUAAGAUGGGCCUUGCUUGAAAUAAUUGCAGGAGAGCACCACUGAGAUUUCAGGGCAGUGACUUCCAUUGUUUUUAGUACUAAGCAUUAAGGCUUAUUUGCUUGGCUUUCCUAUAUAUUGAAAGCAAAUGUUGGCACUCUCAGCUUGAUGUGUGGGAGCUGCUGGAUAAUCUCCUUGUUUGGGUGGGUGCCUGUAUCAUCCACUGUUGUCACAGGGAGUCAAGGGGUCUGGUAGUGAUUGGCAAAGCCUGACCCCAGCACAUCCCUUACGGCAGCCAGGUCUUCUGAUUUCUCAUCUCUUCCUAAAUGAACUCUGUUUGUCAUCUCUCCUCUUUUUCUUUAGCACAGGACUAGGUAAGAUGUUGCUGAUUGUGUGUAGAACAGAAUAGGACAGUUCUGUCAAAAGAGACCUUCAGAGAUCAAGUCCAACUACCUGACCACUUCAGGACUAAGCAAAAGUUAAAGCACAUUAAUGAGGGCAUUUUCCCAGUGACUCCUGAACACUGACAGGCACAGGGUAUCAACCACCUCUCUAGGAAGCCUUCUCCAGUGUCUGACCACCCUCAUAGCACAGAAGUGUUUCCCAGUGCCCAGUCUGACCCUCCCCUGGCAGCUCUCUGCCAUUCCCAUCGGUGCCAGGAGCAGAGCCUGGCACCUCUCUGCUCCCCCUCCUCACAAAGCUGCAGAGAGUAGCAAGGUCAUCUUUGCACCUCCUCCAGCCUGGACAGCCCAAGUGUCCUCAGCCUUUUCUCACAGGACACACCUACCAACCCUGUUAUCAGUUUUGGUGCAUCCUCUGGAAGCGUUCAAGGACUCUAACACCCUUUUUAUAUUGUGGCGCCCAGAACUGCACAUGAUGUUCAAGGUGAGGUUGUACCAUCACUGAAUAGAGUGGGAUAACCACCUCUUUUGACCAGCUGUCCAUUCUGUGUUUAAUGCACCCCAAAAUGUGGUUUGCCUCUUGGCUGCUAAUCAUGCUGCUGGCUCAUUCUGAGCUGCUGUCACCUGCACCCCCAAUUCCCUCUCUGCUGAGCUGCUCUCCACCACUCUUGUCCCAUCUGUGCCUGUGUCUGACAUUGCUCCAUCCUGAGGCUUCUUACUCGCAUACAGUCCUGGGUUUUCCUCCUGCAUAUAUCCUGGCAGGUUGCAGCUGGUGACUGCCAGUUUCUAGAUAAAGUGGCCUUUGUUUCUUGCUCUGGUUGUCAGAGUAUGUUAUCAAGCUUUGAAUCAGCUUGACAUGUGGGGGAGAGCUGGUUCAUGCUGCACAGUUCCUUCAUUUGUGCCUAGUUGAGGGAAGGAUGAAGGUUGUCUUUUUGGAGAGAGAAGCAGACUGUGGGUACAGCAGUGUGAUCUCCCUCCUGCCACACUCAUGAGUGUGACUUUUUGAGAGGGGCUGCAUGAGGGUGAAUAAACACACAUUCCCUUGUGCGUCCGAGGGAAAGCUACCCUUCAUAGGGUGCAGGCUGGGCUACCCUAGGGACAGCUGCUGUUUGCUCAGACUUCUUUUUCCUUCUCCUAUUCUUCUCAGUUCUGGUGUUGGCAGAGCUGUUUCAGGUCCCACCUUACAAACAAAUGCUGUGAUAUGUGCCAGCUCGUGGCAUUUCCUUGAACCCAUGGUAGCAACAGGGAAUGAAGGCACACAUCACUCUCUAGCUGGUGCAAGCAGGGUGGGAAGCUGAUAGUUACCCAGGGAGCCUGUUGUGAGUGGGGAGUCACUGUUAAAAUUAGCCAUCGAGGGGUCUUUGAGCUCGAGAAGCCAUGCAAAUUGUGCAUGGGUGGAUUUCUUCCUCAAGCUUGCUCACACAGUGUAUGAACUUGGUGGAAUAUGUUUGUUGAUUAGGAGGUAUUCAACAGAAUUUCCCCCCAUCAUGGUAAAUGUUGAGAAGAGUGCUGUGGACUCAGUUCCCUCUUAUAAAUCAUUGCUGCUAGUGGGAGCAGGCCCUGGACAGACAUUAGAAUUGGUCUUUCUCAUGUGUCGUCUGAGGGCUGUGACCUGAUUUUUCUCACGCCAAAUUCAGUGCAUAACCUCCUAUGGGGGCUGCUGUUCAGUCCCACUGCCAGGCCUUCCUCACUGCACUCUGCUUGUAGAAGAAACCUUUGUGUAAAUAGUUGCCUUUUAUUUUGACAUAGCGUUUAAUGUGCAACAUGUGAGUCUUUUAACAAACAUUUCUGGCAAAAGCUUAAUUUGGUUGAGGGGUGGGAUGCUUUAAAUCUAUCUGUGCUUCCUGUGUCUGGCUUGCUCCUAGCUGUGCAUGGAAGUCAGAGAUCUUCCACAACACCUUGAGCCCAAACAGUGGGAUUAUAUUCUCUGUUUGCUCUAAAAAAAUAAACAAGCUUCGGUUGUUUUAACCCAGGUAGGUCAUUUGCUUUACUCUGUGUGUAGGUAUUGGUUCAUAGUUGUGGUGCAUUGUUUUGGGUUCCAGAAGUGGAUAAUCAGCAAUACAGUGUUGCGAAGAUUUAGUUCCAGGUCACAGACAAGUAAUGAAAAAACAGCAGUCACUGAGGAUUUGAUUUACACACUGCAAUGACUGUGUGAUAGCCCCUUUUGUGAGAAGGAAAGUCUCCCUCUGGAGACCACAUUCUAACCAGUAGCGAGCAUUCAAGCUCCCUGGUGCUUCAGAUGUCAAUUAUACCAAAGCCUCUUAUUGUAUAAUGUAUGUCUGUUAUAAUAAUACUGUCUGGAACAGUAAUAAUAAUGUGAAUGAACUUCCAAACACUGGAGAUGGGAGGAGGAGGUUGAUCAAUAUGGCACUAAUGAUGGCCUUGUCUUUCACUAAAAUAAUUGUGAUAGGGUUUAUAGCACUUCCUUCCUACACCAUGCUGUGUGGCAGUGUUGGUUUACUACCUGCUGUUAUUGCUUUUGUAUAAAAAGGUGUUAAAAAGAAACGUCUGUCGAGUUUUAAGGCUGCCAGUCUUUUUUAAUGCAGUGAGGUUGUUCUAGUCAAGAUGGUCUGAGGAUAUGAGAUAUGCAAGGUUCGCUGGGAGAAGUGAAAUUUUUAUAAGACGUGCUGAUACAGUCAGGAAAAAAAAAAGAAAAAGAAGCCUUUAUGCUCAGAAAAUCAGUAGUAAGGUCCCCAUUUUUAUAGGGAAUUUCUCAUUCUUUAUCACAAAGAUGCCAUUUAAAGGCCAGAUUUUCUGAGUGAUCUCAUCCUGCUUGCUUGGACAUAAAAGGUUACUCCUUUGAGAGAGUGUGUGAGCACUUGAACACAUAAGAGUUCAAAAGAAAAGCUCUCCUGCACACUAAGUAUGUUUUCCAUUUAUGUGACCCUGUUCCUUGUCUAAUAAUGAGAUGGGGUUUUCUGUGUUGUUCCACCAUUGAAUCUUUUGCUUCAGAAAGAUGUUUUCUCUUUUAAAGACAGUCAAAUUUCACCUCAGUAUUUGUAUUCAUGCAGUGGGAAGCCAUACCCUCCUAAUGUGCUCCUGAAUUUUGUUGGAGAAAGUAGGAAGGUAGAAGCAUAUUAGAAGUUAUUUGUUUGUUGUAUAAUAAGUCCUAACAUUUUCUGCGGUGUCUUGGAGUUACUUUAUUUCUCAAUAUACUGGAAUGAUGGAUUCCAUACAUUUUGUUUUGUGAAGUGAGAGAAAUUGAAAGAAGUCAUAACCUGAAUCUCAUGAUAAAAAUCCCCUCAGUUGAAACUCUUCAUUACAAUACUUUUCAGAACAGAAAAGAUGAACUGCUUUUGCAGUGGCACAGCUCCAAUCUCAAACUAGAAUCAAUUGCUUUGCCAGCACUGAACACAAAGGAUGUUCAUUGUUUGCAAACUGAAUUUUUCUUAGUGUGUUCAAAACCGAUGAUCAGAUUUUUUUCUGUAUAGAAACCCCUGCAGUGAAAAAACUGCAGCUGAUUCUGUGCUUCCCAUCCUGGUUUGCAGGAAGGCUUCUUGCCUCACAGUGUGAUUUCUUCAUAAUAGCUGCAUGACAACAACAUGCCAAUGUUUUGAAAAAGCAACAGCCAACGUUAUCACACAGUUGCUUAUGUUGGUGACUCUCAGUUGCUGAUUUUUUUUCAUCAAGGAAAUGCAUUUACCUUUGUAAAUGUAACUGCUUACCCUCCCAAACCACACCUUUCUAUAUACAACAAAUCUAUACCUACAUCUGUUUACCUACAUGAGCUCUGACAGGAGUAGAGGGACCUUCCCAGGCUGUCCCCUCCUGUACCAAGUAACUGCAUUGUGUCAUGCUUGGCAUCAAAUGAUGAAGUUCCAUGUGAAGAAUGAGGAAAGGGUUUUCCCUUGCUAUUUUCAUGCAAGAUAUGCCUCAGAAUCUCUUUGGAAGCUCAUGCCUUUUUUUUUUUUUUUUUUUUCUUCUUUUUUUUCCCUACCAUCUAAACAUACUUCUGUCUGACUCUUCCCUGUUUCUGUGCCCACAUUGUCUUGACAUUCUUCUUUCCUCUCCCCUUACUCUUCUUCCUUGGUGUAUUUAGAGAGUAAUCAUCCCUUUUCAUAUGUUUUGAUGCUGAGCCAGCAUCCAACAAUACAAGAUAAUGAUGGGAUAGCAAAAUCUCACCCAGAUAUUUAUGUUUAAGCCCUGAGAGAUGUAAGAUCGGAUAUCCACAAGAGUCAUCCAGGUAUUUUGUGCCUUAAGAACUGGUUUCCAAGAGGAGGGCAGUGAUGUUAACGCUUCUAAGUUUACUUAUUAGUUGUACCCAACGAAGGGCAGUGCAUAGGAUUCCCUGGCAAAGAAAGCUCCUCCAUACCAUUGCUUGGGCUGUACUUGUUCCAUGGGAAACAGUCCUGCUUGCUGAUAGGAAAGUGAAAGUAAUUCAGAUGUUACAUUAGCCAUGUAUGUAUCAAAGCUGAAUCAAUUGCUUGUUUGAAUCUUGCUGUAUGUGUCUUUAUGCAACAUCUCCCAGGUGGCUGCAGUUUCCUCAAAGUUUUUUGCAGCUAAAUGACAUGUUUUGUGGAGGUGAUCAAUACUGGAAUUUCAAGCCAUGCUGCCUGUUCGUUAUUGAUCAAGUGUGGCACAGUUUCCAUUCCCUGAUUGAAUGAGCUUAGUGGGGCUAAAUUUUCUGUUGAGUAAUGACGUGAAGUUAUUUGAAAGCUUUCUGAUGAAUAUGCAGGGCUGAAGAUUUGCUUGCUUUUGUGUGUUCUCACUGACUUAACAAGAAAACAUAGAAAUGCUGAUAGAAACCGUAAGUGGGCUGUGUAUACAGUAACACUGAUUUGUUUUUGAGUCCCUCAGAAACUUGUUUGCAGUAUUCCUGAGUAAUCGUAUCAAUACAUUAGCAUAAAACCUCACUAAUUUGUCAGUUGCUGAUAAUGCAUCUCAAAGUGACACAGGUCUUUUCUGAGAAUCUUUGCUAAACAUCUAACAAAAUACUGUGAUGAGAUUUUCUUCCCUAUAUGUUGCAUGUAAUGCUAUAUAUUGGAAAAUAUGUAAGAAUCUGAUGUUCAUUGGUUCUCUUGAUAAGAUACUAUGCAGCACUAGUUAUGACUUUUCUCACAAAAAAUAAAUGGUACGCAUUUUGUGAAGCAUUCUGCUUUACUUCUAUUUGUAGACUUUUUUCCUGCUAGUUCACUAAUUGGCAGCACUGAGUAAUUUGUAAUUGUCUUCCUAGUGAACCAGUGAUUGUUCUGUAUGUGUAUGUAUGUGUUUAUUAAGUCUUAGGUUUAGACUAUGCGGUAACUAAAAUGAAAAGAAAUAUCUGCAUUUUAAUUCACAAUAUUUUGAUUGCGAUCUGUUUGUAGACCCUCAUUUUGUUGUAAAUUAAGCUGAUAAAAGAAAUCACAUUAAGUUGCAGUGAAAUGGCUCUGAAAUCUGUGUCUCAUGCUAACUACUGCUGAAAUGCUAAGGGUGUGAUUUACAACAGAUUUAAUUGGAUUGGUUCCAUUUACCAUCUAAACAAGCCCUUAAAUGCUGGAGUGUUUACCACCUGUUGUGACUUACCUUACAGAGAUCUUUGUUUGCAAGCAGGAGGGUGUGUGGUGUAAUGAGAGAGGAAAAGGAGUGAUACAGAUGUGCAUCUCAGUUUAUGCAUGCUGUUAAAUUUGCCCCUAGUUGUUUUUUCGUUCCCCAAAAAUUACAACAGAUCUAUUUGGUGUAUUGAUUAUGAUUCUUUCUGCUAAACUUCUGAUAAUUACAGUGUUCCCUGCUCAUCAACUGGGAUAGCUAACAAUAGUAAGCUGGGAUGGCAUGAUAUAUGCUAUCUCCUCUUACACUGCUGUUGUACAAAUCUAGGCUUUCUAAUAGUGUGUGAGCAGCAGCUCUGAUAAAACAACUCUGAAAAAUAUGAAGGUCUUUUUAAAAUUUAGUUGUCUGUAUUUUAGAAUCAUAGAAUCACCAAGAUUGGACAAGACCUCUAAGAUCAUCCAGUCCAACUGUCCACCUAUCACCAUUAUUUCCCACUAAACCACCUCCCUCAGUACAACAUCUAAACGUUUCUUGAACACCUCAAGGGACAGUGAUUCCACCAGCUCCCUGGGUAGCCCAUUUCAGUGCCUGAUCACUCUCUCAGAGAAGUAUUUCCUAAUGUCCAAUCUGAAUCUCCCCUAAUGCAACUUGAGGCCAUUCUCUCUAGUAUUAUUGCUAGUUACAUGGGAGAAGAGGCCAAUCCACACCUCACCACAACCUCCCUUCAGGUAGUUGUAGAGAGUGAUAAAGUCACCCCCAAGCCUCCUCUUCUCCAGACUAUACAAUCCCAGCUCCCGCAGCUGCUCCUCAUAAGGCUUGUGCUCCAGACCUCUCACCAGUUUUGUUGCCCUUCUCUGGACACACUCCAGGACCUCAAUGUCUUUCUGUAGAGAGGGGCCCAAAGCUGAAUACAGUACUCGAGGUGUGGCCUCACCAGGACUGAGUACAGAGGAGCGAUCACUUCCCUGUUCCUGCUGGCUGCACUAUUUCUGAUGCAAGCCAGGAUGCCACUGGCCUUCUUGGCCACCUAGGCACACUGCUGGCUCAUGUUCAGCCAAGCAUCAACCAAUAACCCCAGGUCCAUUUCCUCUACGCAGUCUUCCAACCACUCUGCCCUAAGCCUGUAGCAUUGCCUGGGAUUAUUGUGGCCAAAGUGCAGGACCCAGCACUAGCUCCUCUUGAACUUCAUCCCAUUUGCCUCAGCCCAGCUAUCUACCCUGUCCAAAUCCCUCUGUAGGGCCUUCCUAUCCCCUGGCAGAUUGACAUUUCCUGCCAACUUGGUGUCAUCUGCAAACUUACUGAGGGUGAACUCAGUGCCCUCAUUCAGGUCGUCAAUAAAGAUAUUGAACAAGACAGGCCCGGAUACCAACCCCUGGGGAACAACACUCAUGACCAGUCACCAGCUGGAUGAGAAUAAAUUUACCACCACUCUCUGGGCCCAGCCCCCAGCCAUCCAGCCAGUUCUUUACUCAGCAAAGAGUGUAUCUGUCCAAGCCAUUGUCUACCAGCUUCUUCAGGAGAAUACUGUGGGAGAGUGUUGAAGGCUUUGCUGAAGUCAAGGUAGACCAUGUCAAUAGCCUUUCCCUCAUUUACCAGGCUGGUCACUUGAUCAUAGGAGGAGAUCAGGUUGGUCAAGCAGGACGUGGGUUUCCUGAAUCCAUGCUGGCUAUAGGCCUGAUCCCCUGGCUGUACCACACAUACCAUGUGAUCUCCAUCAAGAUGAUCUGCUCUAUAACUUUAUCUGGCACCAAGGUCGGGCUGAUGGGCCUGUAGUUCCCUGGAUCCUCCUUUAACCUUUCUUGUAGAUGGGAGCCACACUGGCAAGCCUCCAAACCUCUGGGACCUCUCCGGUUGAUAAGGAACUCUGAUAGAUGAUGGAAUGCAAUUUGGCUAUCAUCUCUGCCAGCUCCCUCAGCAACCUCGGGUGGAUCCCAUCAGGCUCCAUGGACUUGUGGCAGUCCAGGUGGAGUAGCUGUUUGCUAACUGUUUCCACCUGAAUCAUGGGGGUUUUAUUCUGCUCCCCAUCCAAGACUUCAAGGUCAGGGGGUAGAGUACCCCAAAGAUAACUGGGCUGACUUUUAAAGACAGAUGUAAAGAAGACAUUGAGAACCUCAGCCUUUUCCUUAUCCUUAUUGGUUAUGUUCCCCUCCACAUCCAGUAAAGGAUGGAGAUUCUCCUUAGCCCUUCCCUUACUGUUAAUACAUUUGUAAAAAAGGUUUUUGUUCUCUUUUACCCCAACAGUCAAACUGAGUUCAAGCUGGGUCUUUCUAAUUUUCUUCCUGCACAUUCUAACAACUUCUUUGUACUUUCCUUGAGUUGCCUGCCCCUCUUCCACAGGAGGUAGAUUUUCUCCGGGAGCCUCAGGAAGAGCUCCCUGUUCAUUCAUGCCAAUCUCCUUCCCUGCUGACUCAUGUUGUGGCAAAGAGGGAUAGCCUGCUCAUGUACCUUUGAGACUUCCUUUUUGAGGAGAGACCAGCCUUCCUGGACUCCUUUACCCUUCAGGACUGGAUCCCAAGGGAUUCUCCCUGCCAGUGUCCUGAAUAGUUCAGAAUCCACCCUUCAGAAGUCCAAGGUAGCAGUUUUGCUGCCCCCCCUCCUGACUUCACCAAGAAUCAAGAACUACCAUUUUGUGGUCACUCUGAUCGUGGCAGCUCCCAUCCUUCACUUCUCCCACCAGUCCUUCUCUGUGAACAGCAGGUCUAGCAGGGCACCUCCCCAGUCUCUUACCAGAUGUUUCAGGAAUUUACCUUCCAUACUCUCUAGUAAACUUCUAGACUGCUUCUUCUGUGCUGUAUUGUAUUUCCAGCAUAUACUGGGGAAGUUGAAAUCCCCCAUGAGAACAAGGGCUGGCAAUCGUGCAACUUCUGCCAGCUGUUUGUAGAACACCUCUUUAUCUCUUCAUCCUCGCUAGGCGGUCUAUAACAGACCCCCACCAGGAUGUCCAUCUUAUUGGCCCUCCCCCUGAUCCUUACCCAUAAAGACUCAACCUUAUCAUUCCCAGCCCCAAGCCCAACAACAUCAAAGCACUCUCUAACACAGAGCCACACCACCAUCCUGCCUUCCUUGCCUAUCCCUUUUGAAGAGCUUGUAGCCGUCCACUGCAGCACUCCAGUCAUGAAAGCAAUCCCACCACAUUUCCAUAAUGGCAACUAAGUCAUAGUUUGCCUGCUGCACAAUGGCUUCCAGCUCCACCUGAUUGUUUCCCAUGCUGCAUGCACUGGUGUAGACAAAUUUCGGCUGACACCCUUUCCUCAUCCCCAGUCCCAUCAUCAUUCCUCCAGGCUUGUCUCCAGUGGGCCUGGAUUUAUCCCCUCCCCCCUUGAUACCUAGUUAAAAGCCCUCUCAAUGUGCUCUGCCAGCUCCUGGGCUAGGAUCUGUUUCCUGCUUUGGGACAGGUGAGAAUCAUCUGCAGCCAUCAGGCCAGGUGCCAAGUAAACUGCCCCAUGGUCAAAAAGCCCAAAAUUCUUACGUUUGCAUCAGCCUCUCAGCCAUGUACUUACGAGAUAGGUUUUCCUGCUCCUUUCAGUAUCCUUCCCUGACAUUGAAUGGAUAGAGGAAAAUACAACCUGUACGCCCAUUCCAUCCACUAACCACCCUAGCCCCCUGAAGUCCUUUUUGAUAAUCCUUAGGCUUUUCUCAGAGAUUUCAUCGCUGCUGGCCUGAGCUAUCAAUAAAGGAUAAUAAUCAGAGGUCUGAAUCAGAAUAGGAAGUUUCCUAGAAAUAUCCCUGACUCGGGCCCAAGGGAAGCUGCACACUUCCCAGUGGGUAGGGUCAGGCUGACAUACAGGGUCCUCUGUUCCUCUCCGAAGGGAUUUGCCUACAACAAUCACCCUUCAGUCCUUCUUACUGGAGGAAGUCUCAAGGUGUGGAGCUGACCACCUCACCCCAGGCUUGAGGGUGGACCUCCCACUGCAUCCCAUCUCACCUCUCCCUCAAGUUCCAGAGCCUGAAACCUAUUAUGGAGGGGCACCUGGGGAACCAAGGUAGGUCAGGAUGGGGGUUACCUGUAAUGCUGAUCUGGGAACUGUUGCUUUUCCUCCUCUUUCCUUAAAUUGCAUCCCUCUGCUCAAUGAUGGCUGGGCAGGGGGUCCACCACCAUUUGUGGGGUAUCACCCCAAUGUCUUUCCCGCAAAUUUGUCAGAGUUACUUCACCAGCCUAUCUACUGCUCAUGCUCUCUGAUACUCUGUAAUCUUUCGACCUCCUCCUUGAGCUCUGACACCAUACUGAGCAGAUCAUCCACCUUCUCACACCUCAUGCAGGUGGAAUCUCUGCUGCCCUUCACUGACAGCAACAGGCUCAGGCACUCGCUGCAUCCACAGACAUGAACCACUACAUUCAUAGGCAGGCACUCCAUCUGAGUUACCACAUUCCUUUGUGCCAGAGCUUUCUGCCUAGUGGAGACCAUGGCUGGAUUUAUUGUCUGAAAGGCAGCAGAUUGAUGAGCUGGUCUCCUGAGUGGACAGAGAUACCAUCCCUCCUCACCCCCCCUGCUUGCCUGCCCUGUGCAAACUGCACCAUGCCCUUCUGAUGUGCCAUACCUGGUUGCCUAUCCUGCUGAUGCUACUUCUGUGUCGCUGCACUCCCUGGUAGCAGGAUUUAUACACACAGGGGGUGACCCCACUGAUGCUCCUGGCUCCGCCCCCAUGAUGUCAGAAUGCCGCUGCUGUAUACAUGACAAUGGUGCCUGGCAGCGGCUCUCUGACAGAGCUACCACUCAACCAGAUGAGGCAAUUCCCUGCUUUGGCAUGGAAUGCGCCUGCUCCAGAGCUGAGUUUCUCACCAAAAAGUGAGGUCAACUUCAGCAGGAUGAGGAAAUGAAUUGAAAGGAACUUCAGGAAGCUCAGCAAAGGAAAAUGCCACUUCUAUCCCCUGGAAAGGAAUAAUCCUGUGUACCAGAUCAGUCUGAUAAUAAAUCCAUUAGAAAGCAGCACUGGAGAGAGCUUAUUGACCAGGACUAGUUGACCAGAAGCCAGCAAUGUGCUCUUGUACCAAAGAUCAACAGACUCCUGGGCUAUACCAGGCAGAGCAAGAACAGCAGGUUGAUAGAGCUUCCCUCUGCUCAGCCUUAGUGACAGACACCUGGAGUGCGGGGUCCAGUUCUGGGCAAGGGUAAUAGGGAUGUACUGGAGUUUGUCAAACGAGUGUGAAGAUGAUUGAGGUACUAGAACAUCCAUCAUAUGAAUAGAGGCCAAUAGAGCUAAGACUCUUCAUUUAGACAAGGAGACCCAGAGGGGGUCUUUUCAAUGUGUCUAAAUGCUUGAAGGAGACACGGACAAAGAAGACAGAGCAAGACUCUUCUCAAUGGUGCCUAAUAAAAGGACAGGAGGCAAGGGGCCCAAGAUGAGGUACAAGAAAUUCCAUUUAAUCAUGAGAUAACUUUCAUACUGUACAGGUGUUGAACACUGGGACAAGUUGCUCAGAGAAGUUGAGGGGUCUCCAUCUUCAGAGAUACUCAAAACUUGACUGGAGCCACCUGCUCUAGUUGCCCCUACUUUGAGCAAGGAUGUUGGAUUAGGCAACUUUAGGUCUUUUUGACCUCUGUCAUUUAUAAAACAGUAGUUUUUGCAGUGUUCCCCGCUUCAGGUAAAUUUCCUUGUUCAUCCUGGUAUAUAUGGCUCUAGAAAGAAAUAAGGAGAAGCCUGCAUUUGGCCAUGGAGAAAAAAAGAAGCAUUCUCCUUUUCUAAGGAAAGAACCUGUGCAGCCACCUUUUCUUCUUUGCUUCACUUUACCGAUUUCUAUAUAGUUCAGCAGAGAUUUUAGUGUCUGAAAUAGAAGGGAAAAUUAUUUUUAAGUAAGUAUUUGACUACUACAGGAUAUAAUGAGCACAUAUCUUAAACUCUGCAGGAUUCUGAAUGUAUUGCAAUGGCUUGUUUGGCAAGAAGAAUCCAAAGCAAGAGAUACAGAUGAAAAUCAUGAACCUACAUCUAAAAUAAGAUAGGAUUCACUUGCUUAACCUUGUUAUGAAACUUUAUUUUUCCCAAAUCAGCAUUUCUAAUAUAGAAAAAAAAAAUGGAGAGAGAAAAGUAUGUUUUGACUUUUGGGAGGAGUUUGAGUUUUUCUUGAGCACCAGCUUAUGUACUUUACUACAUCAGUGUUCAUUUACUGAAACUAAACUAAAGCCAAUUCUGAGAUAGCUGAGGCCAGGCCAUCACAAGGCCAACAGACUAUGGAAAUACAUUUAAAAAAAAUAACCACCCCAAAGCAGAAAGUCAUCAACUUUUCCUUUGAGGCACGCUUAUACUUGUUUCUACCAGCAACUACCAUCCUCCUUGACUGCAGGUAACUCAUUACUUUGUCACUUCUUGUCUUCUUUGGUGUUCCCCUCUGCUUUGCCUGUUCUCCCAGUUCACUGGCUUGAUUUAAGUAUUACCAGCCUGUUAGGCUCACCGUUUACUGCCAGCCCAGCAAUCACAAUUAAAAUGUCUCACAUUAGAGUCUGAUUCAGGCAGAAAGCCCUACCGAGACAUGAGCUCAGUGGCAAAAGCAAUAAUCUAAGUUUCAAUAGGAUUUACACUGAACCUUAUUGCUUUCUUAAGUUACUGAGAAAUCAAAUGUCUUUAGGCACCAAAUUCUGGCAUCUGAUUCAUUAGAUUUCCACUUCUUUCUUUGUUCCUUCCAAUUUUCCCCACUGUUUAGCUCCAGAUUUCUGUGAUUUUUAGGAUAUUGCUAUCUAAAUACCACUUUCGUUAUGAUUUCCCAAGGUUCAUCAGAAUUAUAGAUCUUCCUGCUUACAGGCUGUGGGGAUCAUUGGUGUUCAGAUCUCAACCAUGUCCUCAUUCCAUCCAGGCUAAUGAUGUAAAAAUGAAACACAUUACUUGGGUGGAGGUCUCUUUGCUUGUAUGCUGUCAUCAAUGAACAUAUCAAGUUGCUUCUUACAUUGGCUUUCACAGCAUUCUUUUCUAAUGGUUUCCAGCAUGUCUGUUUUCAAGCUUUAGCAAAUUCAAAAUGCUGGAUUAAAUCAGUAAAUGAGUCUCUAAGACCCAUGUGUUUUUUGACCUCCAUGUGCUCCCUCUUAUUAAGGCUGUUCUUUGUCUUCCUUUGCUGCUCAGAAAUGUUCAUCUAUAGUAACCUAUAGAUUAGAGUCUAGGUUACUAUAGAGUAACCUAGACUGUAUCUACCCACCCUGUACACACUCUGUUCUCCCAGUCUAGCCCUCCUCUCCUUUUCUAUUUUUUUAACCCCAGAAUAUAUUUCCAUUUACAGUUUGUUUACAUUUCUAUUUUAUUGUUCUUACUGACAUGCUUUUCACUUCUCGUGCAUUUUGGCAAAGAGGAUUUACAAUUUUUUUUUCCUGAUAUUUUUGUAAACAGCAAGAUGUUUUGUUUCAUAUGGGAGCAGCUAGGACUUCUGCUUCUUAAAGUUAUGUUGUGGGGAGCUCACUGAAUUCAAGUUACAUCCGUAUAUCCUCUUCCUUGGAUUAGGUUUUGAUACAGUAGGCUACACAGCUGGAAGUCACAGAGAGUCAUGUCAUCUCAUAUACUCAGAUGUAGUGAGCAGGUGUUAGGGCACUGCUGGUAGAAACUAAGAGGAAAGAAAUCUUAGCUCUAAAACUCACUGAAAUUAAGGACAAAAUUUUUUUAGACUUGCAGAAGGUUUUUCAUUAGGCUGCUGAUAUCAAUCAGAUUUUGGACACCUAUCACCUUACAGUAGCUUAAUCCACUUUUUUAUUUUGAAUGGGAGGUACAGUGAGUAGCUGUACUACACUGUAGUAGUACAAUCAAAUCAAAUCAAAUCAAAUACUACAGCUCUCAACACUACUGCUGAACCCAGAGAAAUAAGAGCAAUUAUGGCGUGGCAUAUGUGAUUAGGUAAACUUGCUCUUUCCCCAGGCAUCUUUCUGAAAUCCCUCUUUGCUUUUAGUUCUCCUCUAGAGGCAGCUUCUAAACAUUUCAGCAGAGAUUGUGCCAAGGUGAAUAUCUUACGAAUUGAGUCUGAUUUGUCUAAGCUAAAUUCUGCUUUCAAUAUUCUUCUAUAUCUAGGACAAUUAAUUGCAGUAAUGAUAAAAUUAAGGGAAGUUACAUACAGAAUGGCAAUAGUAGAACAAAUAAAAGAAUACUACUGCAAACAUUGGAGGAAAUCAUUGCCAAGACUAUGUAGUCAAAACUUGACUGGACUAGAAUCAAUGCUGAACAAUGUACUUAAGUUUCCUAAAUCUUUUUUAAAAUCAGCACAUCUGGAAAUCACAGGAAGAUGUGAAUGUUCUUGUCGUCUUUGUAGUUACUUGAUUGUAACUGACUAUCUUCAGAAAAACAGCAAUGUUGUAUCCCACUGAAAGCUUCUUGCUUCCCUUGAACACUCGUAAUUGUAUUGUAGUUAAAGCUAUUUAAUAACUUCCACAAAAUCAACAUGAAAAAAAUGAAUGAGGCUUUUGAAUGGAAAAAUGACUUAGUAGAAACUGAUCUAUGGAUAAUGUUUUAUAAGAAGUGUUAUUUGUCUCCUGCAUUUUUUCCUCUGCUAAGAAAAGAUACUUAUUUAAAAUUCAAAAGCUGAAUAAAAAUAAGUUAACAAAAACAACCAAUGUUUUCUGGCAUGGUUCUGUUUAUCUGUCUCAUAAUUAUAGCAUCAUUAUCUGGAUUUUAGUAAACAUAUGCCCAGUGCUGAAAGUAUCUUAAAUACACAGACGACAUGCAAAUCUAAUGAGUAUAGAGGAAAAAAUCGCAUUACUCAAGAUAUAUCUAUAGCUUGUGGGUUUAAAUAUGGGGAUAAAGGGAAUAGGUGAUACACUGCCUAUGAGCAUAUGCCUCUUCAGAUGUAUCUGUGGUUGCUGGUGAAACUUCUGUUGGUGUCUUCCCUAAAAGCUGUUGCUGCUUUUCUGUGUCACACAGAAAUAAAGGGUACAUGAGGUCCUGUACAUGAGAUCCAAAGAGAAGUUUCUGGGUUUUUUUUCUGCAACAUAUAUUCUGCUAUGUCACUCUGGUUGUGGCUCUGGGUCG